rnacentral:misc_RNA from 1 species
AGCUUCGGCUCACUAUCGGAUCGUUUUAGAAACAUCAGUGGCCAACAAUCGUCAGGAUUGUUGAGCUGCAUUGGCGGGAUUUCGCCGUCUUCGUUUCUCUUUCUUCGCGGACGAACACGCGCUGGGGCUGCAAGUUUGCAGAGUCCCUGGUCCUUGACUGGAUAUGCGUUAGGGGCUUGUAGCUCAGUUGGUUAGAGCGCGCGCUUGAUAAGCGUGAGGUCGGAAGUUCAAGUCUUCCCAGGCCCACCACUUUCAUCGAGUGAGCAUUCGUCUUCUGGUUACGGGGCCAUAGCUCAGCUGGGAGAGCGCGUGCUUUGCAAGCAUGAGGUCGUCGGUUCGAUCCCGUCUGGCUCCACCAGAUGGUUUGAUCAUCGACUGAUCGUGCACCUAAAUCGUCCGCGAAACAUCACUUCGCAUCUUGCUAGUCUGGAUAGACAGCAAGUUGCGUGAUUUCUGACAUCGUAAAGAGGAGAUCGAUCCGAGUUGGAUCGUGCAGCAAGCAAUUGCUACGCGAGACUUCAUUAUCUCCGGAUCAUUUCGGCGCUCGUGCGUCUUUCAAGGGCAGCUCACAAGGCUGCUUCUGGAGAGACAAGCGAGUUGUAAAUGAUCCUUUUAGCGAAGCUUGACCGCCUCGCUAUCGGAACGAUCUUACGAAGCAAGCUGGUCUUUCUAAUCAUUGUCCGGCUGCAGAUAGCGUUCAUCGAGGGCGCGUGCCGCAAGGCAGUUCUGCAGACAACAUUCUGCCGAGUGUGUGGACAUUGAUAAUGAGAGCAAUCAAGUGCCUUAAGGGUGUUCGGUGGAUGCCUUGGCGCUGAGAGGCGAUGAAGGACGUGCUACGCUGCGAUAAGCCGUGGGGAGCUGCGAAGA